rnacentral:lncRNA from 1 species
AAGAGCAUCAAAACCUCUCGAGAUACUCUGUACUAGGCGUCCCACAGAGGAACCAGUGCAAGCACUGGACACUUUCGGGUAUAGCCGAAGAUCACCUUGAAGAACGAUGAACUCAGAAGGACAAGUGCUCCCCCUGCAAACUUUAGUCCACUCUCCGCCCCAAGCUCUCUGUGUGUAUGCUGGGGACCAACAACACUUUGAUAAAGCCAAGGCUGUGGCUAUCACCAUGUGAGCUUUGGGGUGCUGAAGAAACUCAACCAGAAUAAGAAGCUCAUCAAGAAGUUGGCCAUAAAGUAUGAUGACUCUGAUCAAACACAUCCUCAGCCCCAGCCUGAAUAAAGCUGGCAAAUUCCCUUCCCUGUUCAUGCACAAUGAAAACAUCGUGGCCAGAGUUGAUGAGGUGAAGUCCACAAUCAACUUCCUGACGGAGGUGCUGUGUCUGGCCAUGACCAAUGCCAUGUGAAGAUGACAGACGAUGAGCUUGUGUACAACAUCCUUCUGGAUGUUAGCUUCCUGGUGUCACUGCUCAAGGUGAAUUGGCAGAAUGCCCAGGCUUUAUACAUGAAGAGCACCAUGGGCAAGCCCCAGCACCUGGACUAA